rnacentral:rRNA from 1 species
GACGAACGCUGGCGGCGUGCUUAAUACAUGCAAGUCGAACGGAAACGACCUGCUUGCAGGGUGCUCGAGCGGCGAACGGGCGAGUAACACGCGGGUGGUCUGCCCCCUACUCUGGGAUAAGCCUGGGAAACUGGGUGUAAUACUGGAUAGGUACGUGCUGGAGGUGGUGUGGUGGAAGGAUUAGAUUCGGUAAGGGAUGAGCUCGCGGCCUAUCAGCUUGUUGGUGGGGUAGUUGCCUAGCAAGGCGUCGACGGGUAGCCGGCCUGAGAGGGUGGACGGACACAUUGGGACCGUGAUACGGGCCAGACUCCGACAGGAGGCAGCAGUGGGGAAUAUCGCACGAUGCGACGAAGCCUGAUGGAACGAGGUCGCGUGGGGGUUGAAGGCCGUUGGUUGGGAAGCUCCAGUCAGCCAGUACGAAUCCGUGGGGUGACGGUAUUGAUAGAGGAAGCACCGGCUAACUACGUG